rnacentral:rRNA from 1 species
AACGAACGCUGGCGGCAUGCCUAACACAUGCAAGUCGAACGAGACCUUCGGGUCUAGUGGCGCACGGGUGCGUCACGCGUGGGAACCUUCCCUUAUGUUCGGAAUACCUCCCCGAAAGGGGUGCUAAUACCGGAUAAUUUCUUCUGACCAAAGAUUUAUCGACUUUGGAUGGGCCCGAGUUGGAUUAGCUAGUUGGUAGGGUAAAAGCCUACCAAGGCGACGCUCCAUAGCUGGUCUGAGAGGAAGAGCAGCCACACUGGGACUGGGACGCGGUCCAGAAUACUACGCGAGGCAGCAGUGGGGAAUAUUGGAAAAUGGGCUAAAGGAUGAAGCAGCAAUGCCGGGUGAGUGAUGAAGGCCGUAGGGUAGUAAAGCUCUUUUACACGGGAUGAUAAUGACAGUACCGGGAGAAUAAGCACCGGCUAACUUCGUG